rnacentral:piRNA from 2 species
UGAGUGCUCAGGGCAGAGUCGCUGAGUGAA